UGGUACAUGCAUAAACAGUAGUCGGAUGGGAGAGUAUAUUAGCUAUCGCAUCUCUUUUUAUUACACAUACGAUAAUACCAACAAGAGCCUAGCUAGCUAUAGGCUCACUCAGUUGGACGUUGGAGGCUUGUGUUUUGGUGGUGGCUUGUAACCCUUGGGAGGCUUGCCAUCUAAGUUUGGUUCCAGUGAGGACUCAUGUGCUGGAGGCCUGUGUGGUGGUUUUUUAGGGCCUAUUGGUUGUUCCUUGUGUGGGGGUUUUUCCUCAUCAAUCCCAUCCAAUGAGGUUGGUGGCUUGUGUUUUGGGGGAGGCUUGUGUUUUGGUGGUGGCUUGUGUUUUGGUGGUGGCUUGUAUCCCUUGGGAGGUUUGCCAUCCAAAUUUGAAUCUAGGGAAGUCUCCUCAGCUGAAGGAGGUUUGUGCGGUGGUUUGUGUGGUGGCUUAUGGUGAUUAGCCAGAGAGUGAGUAGUGAGAAGCACCACUGCGAGAAGCAACAAUACCAAGUGUUUGGUAGAC